AUUGAGCAUGUAAAGUAAGUAGUAGGGUCCGCUCGUCAGCCCUACUGAUGAGAUGAUUCAUCGAGCGGGAACCAGGUCUAAACGUUUAGGAAAUAGUAGCAGGAAGUGGGGAGAGAAGAGAGGAGUAGAGAGAAGAGAAGAAGGGAAGAGGAAGGAUCGACGCAAAAUCGCUUCGAGUAACGUGGUCGACGUCGAUGCGUGUACUAUAUAUCGAUGGGUGGCGAAUGGGUUGCCCGUUGGGUGCUAGGCAGCAGCAGCAAGCUCGAUCAAAGAAGAAGAGUGGAGAACACCUCGGUGACCGUCGAAUAACGUGCCUGAAACUAGAAAAAAUGAAUCUCAGUAAAAGAUGGUGGUGAACGUUUAUAAUUUUUCUUCACUUUGAUAAGAUUCGAGUUUAGCUUCGAGGGAACUCCACAGGACACAACGGUAGCACAACAAUCAUAACGUCGAUAACCGGAGAGGUGAAAGGAUAAUACUGAAGCAA
rnacentral:lncRNA from 1 species